CCCGCUGAACUUAAGCAUAUUAAUAAGCGGAGGAAAAGAAACUAACUAGGAUUCCCUCAGUAACGGCGAGUGAAGCGGGAAGAGCUCAAAUUGAAAAUCUGCCUGCCAAGCGGUAGGUCGAAUUGUAAUCUAGAGAUGCAUUGUCAGUGGAUACCCUGGGUAUAAAUCCUUUGGAAUAGGGUGUCAGAGAGGGUGAGAACCCCGUCUUUGACUCAGAGCGUACCGCGUACGACGUGCAUUCGAAGAGUCGGUUUGCUUGGGAAUGCAAACCAAAAUGGGUGGUAAAUUUCAUCUAAAGCUAAAUAUCAGCGAGAGACCGAUAGCGAACAAGUACCGUGAGGGAAAGAUGAAAAGAACUUUGAAAAGAGAGUUAAAAAGUACUUGAAAUUGUUAAGAGGGAAGCGAUGGCAAUCAGUAUUGUGUCGCGCAAUCCUAGGCGUUCGGUUUCGGAAAGCAGGUUUGGGAACGUUCUGUAUAGUCGUUCCCUGCUUGCCUGACCAGAGGCCGAGCGUUUCAGUUGUGCGGCACGGGUCAGCAUCAGUUUGGCUUGUGGGAGAAAGCUGUUGGGAAGGUAGGUUCGGCCCGUCAAGGGUUGAACUGUUAUAGCCUGGCAGCUAUACCACGGGCUAGACUGAGGACAAUUGGUAAAAUACGCCCCUUUGGGUUCGCCGUACUGCUCUCUGUGGUAUCAUUCUUUAGGAUAACAAAGUUAUGCUAGGGGAAAAGUGCUAUACUAGGGUGGAUACGGUCGAUGCGUAUUAGAGAUGCUGACGAAAUGGUUUUCAUUGACCCGUCUUGAAACACGG
rnacentral:rRNA from 1 species